rnacentral:rRNA from 1 species
GACGAACGCUGGCGGCGUGCCUAAUACAUGCAAGUCGAGCGCAGGAAAUCGACGGAACCCUUCGGGGGGAAGUCGACGGAAUGAGCGGCGGACGGGUGAGUAACACGUAAAGAACCUGCCCUCAGGUCUGGGAUAACCACGAGAAAUCGGGGCUAAUACCGGAUGGGUCAUCGGACCGCAUGGUCCGAGGAUGAAAGGCGCUUCGGCGUCGCCUGGGGAUGGCUUUGCGGUGCAUUAGCUAGUUGGUGGGGUAAUGGCCCACCAAGGCGACGAUGCAUAGCCGCCCUGAGAGGGUGAUCGGCCACACUGGGACUGAGAUACGGCCCAGACUCCUACGGGAGGCAGCAGUAGGGAAUCUUCCACGAUGGACGAAAGUCUGAUGGAGCAACGCCGCGUGAACGAUGAAGGCCUUCGGGUCGUAAAGUUCUGUUGUAAGGGAAGAACAAGUGCCGCAGGCAAUGGCGGCACCUUGACGGUACCUUGCGAGAAAGCCACGGCUAACUACGUGCCAGCCGCCGCGGUAA